rnacentral:rRNA from 1 species
AGUGAACGCUGGCGGUAGGCCUAACACAUGCAAGUCGAACGGCAGCACAGGAGAGCUUGCUCUCUGGGUGGCGAGUGGCGGACGGGUGAGGAAUACAUCGGAAUCUACUCUGUCGUGGGGGAUAACGUAGGGAAACUUACGCUAAUACCGCAUACGACCUACGGGUGAAAGCAGGGGAUCUUCGGACCUUGCGCGAUUGAAUGAGCCGAUGUCGGAUUAGCUAGUUGGCGGGGUAAAGGCUCACCAAGGCGACGAUCCGUAGCUGGUCUGAGCGGAUGAGCAGCCGCACUGGAACUGAGCCACGGUCCAGACUCCUACGGGAGGCAGCAGUGGGGAAUAUUGGACAAUGGGCGCAAGCCUGAUCCAGCCAUACCGCGUGGGUGAAGAAGGCCUUCGGGUUGUAAAGCCCUUUUGUUGGGAAAGAAAUCCAGCUGGCUAAUACCCGGUUGGGAUGACGGUACCCAAAGAAUAAGCACCGGCUAACUUCGUGCCAGCAGCCGCGGUAA